GAGGGUGUAGCUCAGUGGUAGAGUGCAUGCUUAGCAUGCAUGAGGUUCUGGGUUCAAUCCACAGUGCCUCUG
rnacentral:tRNA from 1 species